rnacentral:tRNA from 1 species
AGGGUCUUAAGUUAAUAUAAACUAGUAGCCUUCAAAGCUAACCAUAAGAAAAUCUUAGAUUCUA